rnacentral:rRNA from 1 species
UGUCGGUGGCGGACGGGUGAGUAACGCGUAAAGAAUUUGCCCUUCAGACCGGGACAACUAAUCGAAAGGUUAGCUAAUACCGGAUAUUAUGAGACCUUGGCAUCAAGGACUUAUGAAAGCUAUAUGCGCUGGAGGAGAACUUUGCGUUCCAUUAGCUAGUUGGUAGGGUAAUGGCCUACCAAGGCGACGAUGGAUAGCCGGCCUGAGAGGGUGAACGGCCACAAGGGGACUGAGACACGGCCCUUACUCCUACGGGAGGCAGCAGUGGGGAAUAUUGGACAAUGGACCAAAAGUCUGAUCCAGCAAUUCUGUGUGCACGAUGAAGGUCUUCGGAUUGUAAAGUGCUUUCAGGUGGGAAGAAGAAAGUGACGGUACC